rnacentral:rRNA from 1 species
AGUGAACGCUGGCGGCAGGCCCAACACAUGCACGUCGAACGGCAGCACAGUAAGCGCUUGCUCUUACGGGCGGCGAGUGGCGGCCGGGUGAGGCAUACAUCGGAAUCAACUUUUUCGUGGGGGAUAACGUAGCGAAACUUACGCUAAUAUCGCAUACGACCUACGGGUGAAAGCCGGCGACCUUCGGACCUUGCGCGAUUGUAUGAGCCGAUGUCGGAUUAGCUAGCUGGCGGGGUAAACGCCCACCAAGGCGACAAUCCGUAGCCUGACUGAGAGAACGAUCGGCCACGCUAGGACUGAGACACGGUACAGGCUCCUAGGGGAGGCCGCAGCGGGGAAUAUAAGACAAUGCGCACAAGCCUGUCCCGGCAAUACCGCAUGAGUGAGGAAGGCCUACGGGUUGUAAAGCCCUUUUCAUAGGCGAGAGCAGCUGCGGGUUACUCCCGCACUGUUCUGACGCUACCCAAAAAAUAAGCACCGGCUAAAUUCUUG